AGAGUUUGAUCCUGGCUCAGAACGAACGCUGGCGGCGUGCCUAACACAUGCAAGUCGAGCGCGAAAAGGACUUCGGUCCCCAGUAGAGCGGCGCACGGGUGAGUAACACGUGGGUAAUCUGCCCUCAGGUCUGGAAUAACUCAGGGAAACUUGAGCUAAUACCGGAUAAGACCACGAAACGAGAGUUUCGGGGGAAAAGC
rnacentral:rRNA from 1 species